UCACGUCUCCUUAUCAUUCACCAGUCCAGAGCGCUGCGAGUUUCCUGGACGGAGAACUGAUAAGGAUGAGUGAUA